CUUCGCCGCUAUUAGAUCACCAUCAAGUCCAAGCGAAAUAUUUUCAGGUCACCAUGAAACUCCCAAGCUUAUACUUACGGCCAUCGCUGCUCAUGGCUUCCUUAGUCAUCCAACUGAUCACGGUGGUGGUGGCCAGUGGUGGCGGCAGCGGUACUACAUCGUCGACGGCGGCGGCGGCGGCGGCUCCAACGAAGAAAUACAAUGCCAUGUUCACCUUCGGUGACUCGAUGGAUGAGACAGGCAACAUAUGCGUUGGCAGCAGCAACAAGACGGAGUUGAACGUGCUCACCUGCACCCACCCGCCGUACGGCGAAACCUACUUCGGAAGGCCGUCUUGCCGGUGGUGUGACGGCCGCGUGGUUGUUGACUUCGUCGGUUGCAAAGGAUACGUGAGGAAAUCGCUCUUCAUGUUCGGUGCAUACGGCGGAAACGACUACAACGUGCAGCUGCUUGAACGUGGUUUGACACCGGAGCAGGCAAUGAACUACACCCCAAAGAUCGUUGGUGCCAUCGCCAACGGCGUGGUGAAACUGAUUGCUCUCGGCGCCGUCCACGUCGUCGUCCCGGGAAUCUUCCCGACCGGCUGCUUGCCGAUCUUCCUGUCCUUGUUCGGCGACGGCGACGCCGACCUGGACGACGCCGGCUGCCUCAAGGCCUACAACCUCCUGACCAAGUACCACAACUCGAUGCUCCGGAAGCAGGUGGAAGCCCUCCAGCGGAGGCACCGCAACUCGACGAGGCUCAUGUACGCGGACUACUACGGCCUCGUGUACCAGAUGGUCCAGGAGCCCCACAAGUUUGGGUUUAGCGCUCCGUUUGAGGCGUGCUGCGGGGCGGGAGGGGGCAAGUACAACUUCGACCUGAGCGCGAGGUGCGGUAUGGACGGGGCCACGGUGGCGUGCCGCGACUCGUCGGCGCGGCUCAGCUGGGACGGCAUCCACCCCACGGAGGCGGCUAACAAGGUGAUCGCCGGGGCACUGCUCAGGGGACCCUACUGCACUCCUCCCAUCCUAUCCUAGGCUAAAAACUCUCGUAAAGCAGCCCUACACCAAAAAAGACCUAUCAUUUAUGUAUGAGUAUGAUGAUGAUAAUCCUAGAACAACAAGGCACCCGGACGGCAUAGGUUGAUUCCUGGCCUCUUGCCCACGUAGUAGUUUACAAAAUGUUGAACCGCUCAAGUAUGUACGUCCAAACUGGAAAAUCUACCCUGCACGGGACCUCCAGUACAUGCGUUCAUUCCGGCGCCGAGAUGCCCGCUCGAAAUGCAGCAGAAAAUAUUCUAAUGCCUCUUCUUAACAAUGGACUCUACAAUACCCAUCUAACUUGUCAGAUAUCCUACAGAAUUCUAUGUCAGCAUUAGCAGGGGAAUAGUACUACGUCAGUCGUGUUCUGCCCAUCCACUAUCCCAUAGAAAACCUAGCAUUUUAUUUGCUCGAGAGAUAUUAAUUCAUUGAUAUCUCUUUUAAAAAACAUUAUUUUAAAAUAUUUCAUAUAUUUGAAUUCCUGCCGACGACAUCAAUAAAACAAGAUCAAUCUUAAAUAUAUUUUAAACAUAUUCCAAUCAUUUUAUAAUAAUGUAUUUCACACAUUUCAAAAAAGAUUUCACUAAUUUCAUAUAAGAUAUUUCACCCAUUUUUAGAAAAUAUUUUUAAACAAGACAUUCCACUAAUUUCGAAAAUAUUUCAUAACAACAUAUUUCACUCGUUUCAUAAUUCUAAGUCGGAAGUUUACAACAAAUCGGAAAGAUUCACUAACCAGCCGAUCCUACAGAAGAAAAUAAAAAGGAUUGGGGAUUCGAACUCUGGUCGCCAAGACUUCUUCUUUAUUACUAUCAACUGAGCUAAUGUUAACUAUUGUGCACAUCAACGCAACUGAACAUUUGAUCCUUCUUUAUUACCGCAUUGGGAAGAGUAAAUUGCACAGAAGUACCACAAUUGGGACAUUGGAAGCAGAUUGGUACCAAGAUUGGUAAUUUUUACGUGUCAGUACCAAGAUUUGGGCUAGCCGUUGCAAAAAAGACUAAAAGCUCAUUUUAUACGUAUUGACACUAAAGCUGACCGAUUGAGCCCGCCCGUCAGGCGCCACGCUGGCCAGUGCGCGCGUCGCCUGCGCUGGCUGUGCGCUGACUCAGACGAGGCCGGCUCGGCCCGUUGGUGCGACCGAGCCAGACCCCGACCCCGACCCCGCUCUGCCAUGUUCCUUUUCCUCGCACCCUCGCCGGCGGCUGCCUCCCCGCCCGCCCCGCCGCCGCCGCACCACGCCGCCGUAGCCAUGGAUCGAACUGCUUAGGCGCUGUCACCUCCCUCCACUCCCCCACGGCCGUUGUGCCCUCCUCUCCCCCGCGGCUGCUGUGCCCUAGGCGACAAUGGCCUCGGCGACUCCGGCAGGCGGCGAUGGCCUGGGCGAUGCGAGCGGCGGCGACCUCCCCCGCUUCGAUGGCAGUGGCGGCUACUCCAGAUCGGAGUACAGUAGCGCGGAGGAAGAUUUUGCGGAGCCGGCCUUGUCGAUGGAGCAGAGGCUGCGGAUGGCGCGAAUUUGGGUGGACAACCCUAGCACCGCCCAUCACUGGACUCAUGGCUUCGGUGGUGUUCUUUUGUAUGAUGACAUUUUGGAUGUUAGGUUCUUUUUUGAUGCUUCAGAAAUGUUAGAGCUGAAGCUCUGCAGUUCAUGUAACAUACCUGAAUAUGAUUGCAGUGAUGGAAACCCAAGGAUUUAGUGAAUAUGAUCUGCUGUUUCACAUUGAGAAUCCAGAUUUAGGGGAGAAAGGAUUGGAGAUGGUAGAGAGUAAUGCUAAGUUGCAACUAGUAAAGAGGCAGGUUGAGGAGUGUAAGGUUUUAAAUUUGCUAGUGAGGGCAUGUCCACCUCCUUGCAGCAAGUUUGAGAGGCAAGAAUUAUCCACUAUUGUGUAUGAAGAGCCUGUGUUAUAUGAUCUCAGUGAGCCACCCAUCUAUGCUGUUGAUGAAGAAGGGAGUUGCCUUUGAAAGUCAGAGUAGCAGCUGCAGUUUAGUAGCUCAUGGUACUGGUGUUUGCACACAAGAGAGCAAGAAUGUAAAAGGAAAACUGAAAGCUGUUUUGGAAAUAGAAGAAGAAGAGGGAUAUGAUGGCAGUGGUGGUUCUGAUUGUGAAGGUGAAGAUGACAGUGAUGUAAACCCUUUUUAUAUGGGUGAUGCUGAUGACAUAGAGAUGGAUGAGGGAAAGAAACAGAGAGAGUAUGAUGAAGUAGAAGAGGAAGAAACAGAUGAUGAAGAAUCUGAGGAGGAAGAAAUGGUGCAUUACUCUGGUGACACAGAGGUUGAGGAACCUUUUGAAAUGGAUGAAGAUGACAAGGUUGUUUCACAGGAUGAAGAAACUGUAAUUGUACAUGAAGAGAAGAAGAAGAAGAAACAGAAGCUUCCAGUUAGGAAAGGGCCUACAACAAGGACACAUUCAAGUGUAGUUCAAGAGGAGGAACCUGAUUUCCAACCUUCAUCUGAUGAAGAAGAGAAAGAAUUGUUGAAGGAGGCUGAUGAUGAUGGUUAUGAGCCAUUGUCAUUUGUGCUGCCAAAGAAAAGGAAGAGCAGGGCAAAGCAGAGGCCUCCUAGAAAAUGGUACAAUGAGAAAAUGGAGGCACCACAUGAGCAAUUAUGUCUACAGAUGUGUUUCAAGGAUCAACAUCAAUUCAGAGAGGCUUUGUUGAACUUACACAUCACUCAAGGCAGAAACUUCAAAUAUCAUAGGAACUCAGAUCAAAGAAUAAUUGUAGAAUGCAACCAAAAACAUUGCAACUUCUUUAUGGUGGCAGCAGUUAUAAAAGGUGAAACUACUUUUGUAAUUAAGAAGAUGAGAAUUAAGCACACUUGCCCUAUUAGUACAGAGACAACAAGGGUAAGUGCCAAGUGGCUUGCACAGAAGUAUGAGUCACUGUUCAGAUCUGAUCUAACAACUGGCAUUCAGACUUUGAUUGAUGCCUGCAUGGAGAAGUAUGGUGUGGAUGUGCCCAAGUCAAUGGCAUAUAGGGCAAAGAACCUAGCUAUUGAUGCUGUGCUAGGAGACCACAAGAAGCAAUACCCUAGGUUGAAAGACUAUGCUCAGACAGUGAUGGAUACAAACCCUGGGAGUAGAGUAGUAGUCACUACUGUAACUCCAACACCCACUGAAAAAAUCCCCCAUCCAGGUCCAAGAUUCCAUGCUAUGUUCUAUUGCAUCAAUGGAGCAAGGGAGGGGUUUCUCGAGGGGUGCAGACCAUUCAUUGGUGUUGAUGGGUGCUUCAUUAAGUUAACUACUGGUGCUCAACUACUUGCUGCCACUGGUAGAGAUGGCAACAACAAUAUAUACCCACUAGCAUUUGGUAUUGUUGGGCAAGAGGACACACCUAACUGGUGUUGGUUUCUACACCAACUUAAAAUCUGCCUAGGAGGAGAAGUGGGAAGGUUUGGUCCAUAUACAAUAAUGUCAGAUAGACAAAAGGGCCUACUAAAUGCAGUGAAUGAUGUCUUUCCUAAGUGCAACCAAAGGUUCUGCCUUAGGCAUAUCUAUGCAAACUUCCAAAAUGCUGGGUUUAGGGGGGAAGAUCUGAAAAAGUGUAUGGAUAAUGCUGCCUAUGCAUAUAGUGAACACAAAUUUAACAUUGCAAUGAAUGACCUUAGAGCUGAGUGUGAGCAAGCUUGGGAGUGGCUUUGUCAAAUACCCAAGAAAACAUGGGCAAGGCAUGCAUUUGACACAAACUGCAAGACUGACCUUGUAGUUAACAAUUUAUCUGAGGUGUUCAACAAGUAUGUCCUAGAUGUUAGGAAGAAACCAAUUAGGACAAUGUGUGAUGGAAUAAAGGAUAAGCAGAUGGUGAGGUGGCAUAGGAAUAGGGAGAGUGGAAAGAAAGCUAGAUGGGACAUAACACCCCAUUAUAGUGAGAAGCUAGAGGUUGAGAAGGAGAGGGCCAAAUAUUGCAAACUAAUUCAAGCUGGUGUGGACUUGUGGCAAGUUACAAGUGGGCAGCAAACCCAUGCUGUUAACUUGCAAAUGCACACAUGUGGGUGCAGAAAAUGGGACCUAAGUGGCAUCCCAUGUAACCAUGCCAUCUCAGCAAUAAACAAGGCCAAAAUAAAACCAGAGGAUUAUGUCAGCAAGUUCUUCAAGAAAGAAAUUUAUCUGGCAGCUUAUGAACCAAUGAUCUAUCCAGUUCCUGGUGAGCAUGACUGGACAAGGACCCCUGGUCCAGACAUUGACCUACCUGCAUUUAAAGUGAAGAGAGGAAGAAAGAAAGAGAAGAGGAUCAAGGGGAAAUUGAAGUUCCAAAGCCUAAGGAGACAUCAAGAAUGGGGACUAUAACAUGUGGCAAUUGUGGACUGCAAGGACAUAGGUACACAAGCUGCAACAAGCAGUUGAAGCCUGAGCUGGCUUUGAGGAAGAACGAACAUGUGCCUCUUGCAAGGAAUUCCAAUGCUGGUGCUGCUGCUACUACACAAGCAUCAAGAACUUCUCAUCCAACUCCUACAACAACACCAACAGCUGGAACAGGAGCAGGGAGAGGAGCUGGGAGAGGAGCUGGGAGAGGAGCUAGGAGAGGGGCUGCAGCUGCAGCUGCUGGGAGUGGUGCUGCUAGAGGUGCUGGUAGAGGUGCUGGUAGAGGUGCUGCACCAGGUGCUGGGAGAGGUGCUGGGAGAGGGAGAGGUACAUUCUCUGCCCCAAGGCAAUCUGGUCCCUCCACAUCUAAUGCUCCCUCUACAUCUACUGCUACUCCACCUUCUGGUGGUAGAAACAGAGGAUGGAGAGCCUACUUCUAUGCAAGUGGUAACCACUAAAUGGCACAUGUGCCAUGUAAUGUUCAAAACUAGAUACUUCAUGUGUGUUCUUGCAUCCUAUGGUACAAUGUGAUCUUGCUGGUGCUCUCAGUGUACUUUGCUGGUGCUCUUAUUGUACUUUGCUGGUGUACUUUAAGAAUCAAUGCCAUAUAUGGCUUUUGUUCAUGUGGAUGGAUGGAUUUAUUUAUUAGUUAAUGCCAUUUCUGGAGCUGGCUUUUGUUCAUGUGGAUGGAUGUGAUCUUGCUAUUUAUUAGUUAAUCAA